rnacentral:rRNA from 1 species
GACGAACGCUGGCGGCGUGCUUAACACAUGCAAGUCGAACGGAAAGGCCCUGCUUUUGUGGGGUGCUCGAGUGGCGAACGGGUGAGUAACACGUGAGUAACCUGCCCUUGACUUUGGGAUAACUUCAGGAAACUGCGGCUAAUACCGGAUAGGAGCUCCUGCUGCAUGGUGGGGGUUGGAAAGUUUCGGCGGUUGGGGAUGGACUCGCGGCUUAUCAGCUUGUUGGUGGGGUAGUGGCUUACCAAGGCUUUGACGGGUAGCCGGCCUGAGAGGGUGACCGGCCACAUUGGGACUGAGGUACGGCCCAGACUCCUAAGGGAGGCAGCAGGGGGGAAGAUUGCACAAUGGGCGGAAGCCGGAUGAAGCAACGCCGCGUGCGGGAUGACGGCCUUCGGGUUGUAAACCGCUUUCGCCUGUGACGAAGCGUGAGUGACGGUAAUGGGUAAAGAAGCACCGGCUAACUACGUG